GUGCUUGCUUUGGCAGCACAUAUACUAAAAUUGGAGUGAUUCAGAGAUUAACAUGGCCUCUGCUCAAGGAUGACACGCAAAUUCGUGAAGUGUUCCAUAUUUUU